rnacentral:rRNA from 1 species
CCUACGGGAGGCAGCAGUGGGGAAUUUUGGACCAUGGGCGAAAGCCUGAUCCAGCCAUGCCGCAUGAGUAAAGAAGGCCUUCGGGUUGUAAAGCUCUUUUAGUCGGAAAGAAAGAGUUGCAAUGAAUAAUUGUGAUUUAUGACGGUACCGACAGAAAAAGCACCGGCUAACUACGUGCCAGCAGCCGCGGUAAUACGUAGGGUGCGAGCGUUAAUCGGAAUUACUGGGCGUAAAGGGUGCGCAGGCGGUCUUGCAAGUCAGAUGUGAAAGCCCCGGGCUUAACCUGGGAAUUGCGUUUGAAACUACAAGGCUAGAGUGCAGCAGAGGGGAGUGGAAUUCCGUGUGUAGCAGUGAAAUGCGUAGAGAUGUGGAAGAACACCGAUGGCGAAGGCAGCUCCCUGGGUUGACACUGACGCUCAUGCACGAAAGCGUGGGGAGCAAACAGGAUUAGAUACCCUGGUAGUCCACGCCCUAAACGAUGUCAACUAGUUGUCGGAUCUAAUUAAGGAUUUGGUAACGUAGCUAACGCGUGAAGUUGACCGCCUGGGGAGUACGGUCGCAAGAUUAAAACUCAAAGGAA